AUGACAACAGAUGGGCCCCCAGGUUAGGAUUAGAUCUUUCUUUUUCUGCUCCUCUGAGGACAUUCUGUUACAAAUAACUCUCUAAUUUCUAUUUUAAACUCCCUAACCUCCCUCGCAUUUAGUAGGCAAAUGAGCAUGCUCCCUCACAAAAGGUAAACUAAGAAGGCAAGCUUAGUGUUCUCGGGCCACCAAGUCCUUAUUCCUGUUUCUAUUCUGCAUAUCUGUCAGCAGCCUUGCCAAAUUGCUUUGGCAAACGAGAGUUUGUUCAGCUAAAUGCAGAAAGUGUCUGAGGCAGGAUUUGAACCAGAUUGUCUUUAAUCUGAGAGUAGCACUCUAGCCACUACCCACGCUGAUGCACUUUAUCGGAAAACACAACUGAAAGGCUNNNNNNNNNNNNNNNNNNNNNCAGCGAUGGUUCUGUGUUAUAAUCCAGUCUUGUCCUGAGAUUAGCAGCUCUGCAGGACAACAUAUUUUGCUAAAUCAUCCUGUAAGGCAAGCCCAAAGUGUGAUUUGUCACCCCAUUCCAAUCUCCUGGACCCUUUGAGGGGGUGGAGCGGAGCUUUGCCAAGAGCCACAGCCCAGUUGAAAGGGAUAAUCUCGUGGGUAACUUCAAUAACAACCCCGAGGUGUUGCCAAGUCAUGGUAUUUGUCACACCUGCCAAAACAGAAGUUUGCAUGCUCGGAGGUGAGGUGGUGGGAGCGGCGGAUGGGAUUUGGUCCUAGCCACGCACCUCUCCCUCACAGGGAAGACGGGAUGUUCUAGAGCCAGCCUACUCCAAUCAAGCUACUCAUUUGGCUCAAAUAGCCUUGUUCCACUGAAGGAUUUAUGUAACCCCUCCGCCCCGAAUAUAAAGGGCUGAAAUGGUGAGCUUUCACCAUCGCUCCUGCUGACCUCGCUAGUCCCUCAGUACAGAAGAAACUAGAGCCGCACUUAGAGCACUCAUUCAACUUUGCACCCAUCAAGACCCAAUUUGGAAGCCACAUUCAGCAGAAAGAAAAUGAAUAAUCAAUACAUCCGAAGGGAAGUCUUUUGCUGUGAAACCUGUCAUGAUCUUAAAAGCUUCUGGGAGAAAGAAAUUGGCAAACAAACUUGCUAUCGGGAACUGGAAGAAGACCGUCAGGGAAGAAGUGCCCUGACAAAGCUCAGAGAUGAAUGGAAGCAAAUGUUGGAAAGAAGGUUAAAGAUGCUGGACAAUCCUGAUGAGAAUGAAAAAUCCACCAAUGUUCACUGAGAGCUUCCUGCAUUGGAGAAAAUAAGGAACUGAAAUCACUUUUCUGGGGGAAUCCAAUGCAAAUGCUUGAAUUACUUUGAUUUACUAAAUGGAAUGAAUAUUUGUUGUCCCAUUUGAGAGGGGAUUAGAAUGGGAAACCUCUUCCAGUGUUAAUGGGGACUAUUAACCAACCUAAUAUUCUGUGUAUCCAUAACCUCCAAUCUAUCAAAAAGCUCCAGACUUAACUAAUAUAGGCAGUGCUCUGGAUUAGCACCAUAUAAAAGUUUCAGACAUCUAGGCGCCAGAAUUCAUUUCCAUAUCAUUAUCCAUCCCCUCAUUUUAAAAUCUAAAUCCUUUACAUUUCAAGAACACCUAGAUGCCUGAUAUCAGUGGUAACAUCCCUAACAAUAGAAUAUAAUUCUGCUUUGCCAUUUCUCCUGGAAAAUUAGAUUCUUAAGAUAAUCUUUCUUCCUUUCAUCCUCUUCUUUUCUUUCUUUGGUGAAUACAGGAAGCUACCAACUGCACAAACUAUUACAAAUUCAUUAAAAAUGUAGCUAGAAUAUAAAUCAAUCUAAUUUUCUUUUCUCCAUUUGUUCUUUUUUUUUUGUCUCUGCUUCUACAAAAGCACAUAAGGUGGUUGGGGGCAUUCCUUUGCAAUGUGUUCCUAGAAAAGCUAAACCAGUUUUGAAUCAACGUGUGUCAGCACUCACUCAAAGCUAUAGCUCACAAGAAUCCCUCCCUCAUAUACAUCCUUUUCCCAGUCAAUCUUGGGGUUAAAUUUUUUUUAAUAAAUAUAAUAGCAAAUAAAAUGACA
ensembl:lncRNA